UCUUGGUCAUUUAGAGGAAGUAAAAGUCGUAACAAGGUCUCCGUUGGUGAACCAGCGGAGGGAUCAUUACCGAGUUUACAACUCCCAAACCCCUGUGAACAUACCAAUUGUUGCCUCGGCGGAUCAGCCCGCUCCCGGUAAAACGGGACGGCCCGCCAGAGGACCCCUAAACUCUGUUUCUAUAUGUAACUUCUGAGUAAAACCAUAAAUAAAUCAAAACUUUCAACAACGGAUCUCUUGGUUCUGGCAUCGAUGAAGAACGCAGCAAAAUGCGAUAAGUAAUGUGAAUUGCAGAAUUCAGUGAAUCAUCGAAUCUUUGAACGCACAUUGCGCCCGCCAGUAUUCUGGCGGGCAUGCCUGUUCGAGCGUCAUUUCAACCCUCAAGCCCUCGGGUUUGGUGUUGGGGAUCGGCGAGCCCUUGCGGCAAGCCGGCCCCGAAAUCUAGUGGCGGUCUCGCUGCAGCUUCCAUUGCGUAGUAGUAAAACCCUCGCAACUGGUACGCGGCGCGGCCAAGCCGUUAAACCCCCAACUUCUGAAUGUGACCUCGGAUCAGGUAUAGUUGUAACGGGUGUUU
rnacentral:rRNA from 1 species